GACGUAGGGCGCGAGCGUUGUCCGGAUUUAUUGGGCGUAAAGAGCUCGUAGGCGGCUUGUUGCGUCGACUGUGAAAACCCGCGGCUUAACUUCGGGCUUGCAGUUGAUACGGGCAGGCUAGAGUUCGGUAGGGGAGACUGGAAUUCCUGGUGUAGCGGUGAAAUGCGCAGAUAUCAGGAGGAACACCGGUGGCGAAGGCGGGUCUCUGGGCCGAUACUGACGCUGAGGAGCGAAAGCGUGGGGAGCAAACGGG
rnacentral:rRNA from 1 species